AUGGACUGCGUCGCCGCCUCCGGCAACUGCCCAGGCUGCAAGGAGGCCUACUCCGCCGGCAGCGACACUGACGACUCCGUCGACGAGGACGACGACGACGCCAUCUCCUCGUCGGAGGAAAGGGACCAGAUGCCCAUGACAUCCAUGUCCAAGCGCUUCUCCAUGGUGCACUCCAUCAAGAUGCCCAUGCCUAGCAGCAACGGCAAGCCGGCCGACUUCGACCACGCCCGGUGGCUCUUCGAGACCAAGGGCACCUACAGCUACGGCAACGCUCUAUGGUUCGAGAACGAGCACGGCGGCGGCGGCAACAUCGCUGGGGCCACCUCCGGAUUCGUCGGCAUCGAGGAGCCGCCCAACUUCGGUACCCGCUGCUGCCGGCCCCUGACGAGGAAGACCAGCGUCUCUCAGGCCAUCCUCAGCCCAUACAGGUACCAAUUCCUCGCAAUGCAUGCGCCACCGACGUCGGAGCCAGUGCUUGGCGGUGAGCCGGCGGAGUCCGGCGUGCUGAUCGACACGACGGGCGUGGACAUCCGGCUGUCGAUGUUGGUGUACGUUUCGCGCGAGAAGAGGCCCAGGUACGACCACAACAAGAAGGCGGGCACCAUGAACGCGCUGGUCAGGAUGAGUGCCAUCAUGCCGAACGGGCCUUUCAUCCUCAACCUGGACUGCGACCACUACGUGCACAACUCGGCGGCGCUCCGCGAAGGGAUGUGCUACAUGCUCGACCGCCGCGGCGACCGCAUCUGCUACGUGAAGUUCCCGCAGCGGUUCCAGGGCACCGACCCCAACGAUCGGUACGCCAACCACAACCUCGUCUUCUUCGAUGUCGCCAUGCGCGCCAUGGACGGGCUGCAGGGCCCCAUGUACGUCGGCACAGGCUGCAUAUUCCGCCGCACUGCUCUGUAUGGGUUCAGCCCGCCGCGCGCCACCAAGCACCACGGCUGGCUUGGCAGGAAGAAGAUCAAGCUGUUCCUGAGGAAGCCCACCAUGGGGAAGAAGACGGACAGGGAGCUGGUCAUGGCGUUUUUGCAAAAAUAA
rnacentral:rRNA from 1 species